UACGAAGGGGGCUAGCGUUGCUCGGAAUCACUGGGCGUAAAGCGCACGUAGGCGGCUUUUUAAGUCAGGGGUGAAAUCCUGGAGCUCAACUCCAGAACUGCCUUUGAUACUGAGAAGCUUGAGUCCGGGAGAGGUGAGUGGAACUGCGAGUGUAGAGGUGAAAUUCGUAGAUAUUCGCAAGAACACCAGUGGCGAAGGCGGCUCACUGGCCCUGUACUGACGCUGAGGUGCGAAAGCGUGGGGAGCAAACAGG
rnacentral:rRNA from 1 species